GUCCACGCUGUAAACGAUGGAUACUAGGUGUAGGGCUCGAUAGAGUUCUGUGCCGCAGCAAACGCAAUAAGUAUCCCGCCUGGGGAGUACGGUCGCAAGACUGAAACUCAAAGGAAUUGACGGGGGCCCGCACAAGCAGCGGAGCAUGUGGUUUAAUUCGAAGCAACGCGAAGAACCUUACCAAGGCUUGACAUCCUCUGACCUCUGUAGAAAUACAGAUUUCCUUCGGGACAGAGAGACAGGUGGUGCAUGGUUGUCGU
rnacentral:rRNA from 1 species